CGUGGCGAGCGGGUGCGUAACACGUGGAUAACCUUCCUUCAAGUGGGGAAUAACUCGCCGAAAGGCGAGCUAAUACCGCAUAACAAAACCGCAUGCAAAGGCGCGCUAGAAGAGGGAUCCGCGGCCGAUUAGCUUGUUGGCGGGGUAACGGCCCACCAAGGCAAUGAUCGGUAGCCGGACUGAGAGGUUGGCCGGCCACAUUGGAACUGAGACACGGUCCAGACUCCUACGGGAGGCAGCAGUGGGGAAUAUUGCGCAAUGGGCGAAAGCCUGACGCAGCGACGCCGCGUGGGGGAUGAAGCUUCUCGGAGUGUAAACCCCUUUCGACCCGGACGAAUGACGGUACGGGUAUAAGAAGCCCCGGCUAACUACGUGCCAGCAGCCGCGGUAAAACGU
rnacentral:rRNA from 1 species